rnacentral:rRNA from 1 species
GACCAGACUCCUACGGGAGGCAGCAGUGAGGAAUAUUGGUCAAUGGGCUUACGCCUGAACCAGCCAAGUCGCGUGAGGGAAGACUGCCCUAUGGGUUGUAAACCUCUUUUGUCAGGGAGCAACGCCGGCUACGUGUAGCCGGACUGAGAGUACCUGAAGAAAAAGCAUCGGCUAACUCCGUGCCAGCAGCCGCGGUAAUACGGAGGAUGCGAGCGUUAUCCGGAUUUAUUGGGUUUAAAGGGUGCGCAGGCGGCGUGUCAAGUCAGCGGUAAAAUGUCGGGGCUCAACCCCGGCCGGCCGUUGAAACUGGCGGUCUCGAGUUGGAGAGAAGUAUGCGGAAUGCGCGGUGUAGCGGUGAAAUGCAUAGAUAUCGCGCAGAACUCCGAUUGCGAAGGCAGCAUGCCGGCGCCACACUGACGCUGAGGCACGAAAGCGUGGGUAUCGAACAGGAUUAGAUACCCCUGUAAC